CAAAUACUAUAUUUAACAGAAUGGCUAAAUCCAAAAGAAUACUACAACACCUGGCUAGAAAUAGAACAGUUAGACUGCAAACACAUUAAACUCUCUGAUCUCCCUUUUAUCACUGCGACCCUCAAACAUCACAACUGCUUUAAAAACCCACUAAUUGCCUCCACACUGACUGCAUGGUGGAAAGCCCUGGACAUCACAAAUGGCCAAUUAAAAACUAGUAUACUCUCUCCAAUUUGGCACAACCCCGACUUUAAAAAUAAAAAAACACCACUCUAUCUGAAGACAUGGGAAGAGAGUGGAAUCACUCAUCUCCAAGACCUUUUUGAAAAUGACAAGAUCAGGUCAUAUAACAAUCUAACCCAAGCAUUCGAUAUAAAUAAAAGUAACUUUCUACAGUACUUACAAGUAACAGAGACAAUAAAGAAAACCACUCCACUAGACUUAACUACGUUACAACCUCCAGACCUGGCUAUAUAUAUGAAAAAAAUCUCAACAAAAUCAAAAAAACUCUCAAAAAUAUACAGAGCGCUUUCGAACACUAACUGUAAUUACUUACCAAUCGCGAAGUGGGAGGCCGAACUCUCAAUCACCCCGAGCACUGAUUUCUGGGCAGAAAUUUGUUGUAAUACUUUUAAGAUGACAAAAAACACAAACCUUCAGCUAAUUCAAUACAAGGUCCUCCACAGAUCCCACAUUACCCAACAGAAAAUGCAUAAAAUGGGCUUCUCAGCAACAGACAUCUGCUCUCAGUGCACCCAGAAUACAGCGGAUUCCUAUUUACAUGCCUUAUGGCUUUGCUCCCCCAGUUCAACACUUUUGGAUUCUAAUCACUGAAAAACUGUCCUCCAUUUUGGACUACAGAAUUCCUUUAUCUCCAAAUCUUUGUUUGAUUGGAGACCUGACAAUGCUUCAACCUCCAGCAAACCAAUCACAAUCAAUCCUUGCGGCACUAGCCAUAGCAAAAAAAACAAUAUUACUAAAUUGGAAAGACAAAAAAUCCUUAAACAUAAACCAAUGGCAAA
rnacentral:lncRNA from 1 species